GGCUGGUCCAGUGGUAGCAGGUUAUCAGCACUUACCAACAUUAGUAUCAUUAAAGUUGGUAUACAACCACCUCACUGCUAAAUUUAACUGGCUUAA
rnacentral:Y_RNA from 1 species